rnacentral:snRNA from 1 species
ACCACCUCUGGCCUUUUGGCUUAGAUCAAGUGUAGUAUCUGUUCUUUUUAGUUUAACCACUAAAAUGACCGCACUGCGGUCACUAAUGGUUAUCUUAUUUUUGACGCCGUCGCCUUUCGAGCUCUGCUUGCACCUCGAUUGGCAAGUUGGCCUUUGCGUUACACUACUGCAUUGAGCUGACAGCGGAU